rnacentral:lncRNA from 1 species
CUACCAAGUAAUGACUGGGAAGCACCGUACUAGAAAUGACCUGGAAGAUUUCUAUACGGGCAUGAUGCCUCCACCUUCAAAAGAAAUAAAUAACUAUCCUUUAAUUAAUUUUUUUUUCUUCUAAUUUUCAUACUCCGUUAGUUGCUUUUUAGUUCUAAUUUUCGUAUUUAAUUUCGUAUUAUAUACAAUGAACCAAAGUACAUUGAUUUUUUUUCUUUUUUUAAUGAAGUGCAAUCUAUAGACAUUUACAAUUUAAAAUUUACUGAGAAGUUAAAUUUAUACACUAUAUAGUUCAGAUCAGAAAUCUACCAUGCUUAACUAUAUCUUUAAUUUAAAAUUCAAAAUUUGACAGGACACCUACUACACCAAGAGCCCCGUAUAUAUAGUAUUAGGAAAGAUUGUCAUAUUUCUUUCUAUUGAAAUUAAUAAAUAUACCACUUAUUCCACAUUGUUUUCAUUAUAUCUAUCCAUUGACAUAAAAAAAAAAGGGGAAAAGUGGGGCAAAUUAAUCAUUUUCUAAAUAAUUUCUCUUAAAAAUAUAAAAUAUAUUUAUUAAAAUAAAAUAUUUUAAAAAUAUUUUAAAAAUAAUAAAAAUAUGACAAAAAUAUCUUAUUAUUAUUUUGUAUUCACAAUGAGAUAUUUAUUUAUUUAUUUUACAAUAAAUAUGAAUAAAAAUACAUUUAAAAAUAGAGUAAUAUUAUAAAAUUACCUUGUCAGGAAUUAUUUGACUAAAAUGAAAAUAAUAAAAAUUAAGUGAUAUAUAUAAAUUUCAGUAGGAAAAAAUUGAUAAUCUCUCUAAUAAAUAUUAGUAGUCCAACGUCUCAAACCUUGCAGCAAUAACAAAAAUGAAUAAUGUUUAAAUUUUAAAAAUGUAAUCCGUAAUAAAUUAUGAAGAAAAUGUGCACACUGUAUGAACCAAAACCACACGAAACUUCAUUUGAAAUACUCCCAAGUCCCAAGCCUUUCUUCUUCUAUGCAUAAAAUACGGACACCGAGUCACUUUUUAUCCCAACAGCGGGUUAAAAGAAAAAGAGUAGCUAAAAAACAGAAAAAAGAAAAAAGAAAAAAAGAAAAGAAAAUAUAGUUUUAUUUUCUUCUACAACCGCGUCCCCCCCUUCUCCUUACUUUAUUAACAAGCCAAGCUCACAUUUUCACUUCCACUUUCUCCCAACACAAACACACACACAGCAAAAACACAAAACCUUUCACAAAGCAAAAGCAAUGAUAGGAGACAGACCACACGGCGGCCCGCCCCACGGGGUGUUACUGGCAGUGGUCGUCGGCAUCGUGGUGCUGGUUCCGUUCAUCAUCGGCGACUCCGGCGAGGCCAUAACUGAGUUCAUAGCCGAGCUUUUGAGUCCGGUAGGGCUUCUCUUGCUCCCCAUC